GAGGAAAGAGAUGAAAGAAUCAUAAUGAUAAUGAUGAGGAUGAGGAUGAAGAUGAUGAUUAAGAGAAAGACUGGAAAGAUAAUGUUAGACCUUAUAUUUUUAGGCUGUUAGCUAAUGGACUGAUUUCCGGGGAAGAUGAAGAGACCGGAAGAAGACGAAGCCUUUUCGUCAAGUUAACCAUAGACAUAGACUUUUAUAUUUCUUCGACAGAAAAAGCUUUAUCCCUUCAACCAUCAGUUUUUACCUCAUCUUUCUUUCUCUUCCUUAUUCUUCUUCUCAUCUCUUCUUCUAAUAUCUUCAUCUAUCAACUUUUAUACAUGAUAAUAAAAAUCAUGAUUAAACCCAAUAAUCAGCCAGCAAACAGAAACAUUAAUGCAGUUAUUAUUACAAUAGUAAGUCAAAGUAAAAAGCUUUCCUCAACAUUGUGCUAAAAUGUAACCAUUUUUCCCUAUCAAAUUGUGCGCCUUAACCUCAUUCAAGUCAACGGUAACGUCUUGGUUACUAUGGAUAACAUAUGGUUUUAUAAUUGUUUCAAUUAAUAAUUUUCAAUUAUCAUCUAUAAUUAACUUCACUUAAUUUGUUCUAAUCAUUUGCUCUGGUUUUAUAUGAAAUUUCACCAAUGAACUACCAAUUCAGUCUUUUGUAAUAUCGGUAGACUAUUGAAGACUUUUGGUAUAUGGGAUUAUCUUGGCUCCUGUGUUCAUUUUAUGGCGAUUGAAAUUCAUUAUUCGCCACCGUACUCGAAGUUUCUCCAGCCUACACCGAUAGCAUAGCCAAAAUGCCGGGAAAAACGGAAGAUUGCAAUUUAGUUUUGCCGUUAAACUCGUCCAGGUAUACAGACAGGUAGAGAGUAACGGUUGAAGAAGGCGAAUAAAAGGAUGGUGAAGAUGCUGGGAAGUGAUAUUUCUUGUUAUAACCAUUUUUUGGUUCCUUCUUAAGGUCAAGUUUAGGAUAAGCAAGGAAACGGAGGAGGAAAAAGGAAUAGGAAGAAGUUUGUUUAGCAGAGGAAAUGUUAUGACCUCUUAAGGAAGCAUCUAUUCCUAUAUUUUUACGUUACUUUCUGUCUUUCUUUCAUCAUUUUCAUCAUUUUCAUCAUCAUCAACAUCUUUUUUACAGUGCAAAAGAGAGGAUUCAUGAUGAGGAUGCUCCAACCAUUUUCAGGCAAACCUGAGUUUCCUUCCUAUUCCCAUGUAUACACAAUCAACACAAUAUGUAUUAUACACGUACAUUGUUGUCUAAACUGUUAAACAUGUAACAUUUAAUUACCAAUUUAACCAUUUAAUUCAAUUGAAUAGUUAAUCGACAGCCAAUAUCGACACAAAGAUUCAUCAAAGAUUCAAUGAUUCAACAUUUCGCCCAUAAACCAUCCUAACACAGCUGAAUUGAAGCCAUCGUAAAUGGUUUCAUCCAAACUAUCAAAAAAGUCUAUCUAAUUACCAAACCAAACGGGCAUUGAAUUAACCUGUCAAGUCUAAAGUCUGAUUAAGCAGAUUGAAUAUUGUCUGCCAACCAGAAUUUAUCAUUAAUGUAACCAAUUUUUUGUUAAAAAUCUUUCAUUAACUAAAAUUACAAAUUUUCAUGUUAAACAUGAAUAGCCGAUAAGAAAAAAAAGGUUCAUUGAAAAUGAUACUUUUGUAUUUACACAAAUUAACAGGAAAUUAUCAUGUUUAGUUAAUUUUUUGCUGCCAUAAAAAGCCUCAACAUCAACUGAAGAUGACAUUAUUAUCUCAAAAAAGUAUCAACUUGUCAUUUUGGUGGCUCAUCAUCAUCAUCAUAACCAUCAUCUUUUUUUAUGUCCUCAAAGCCCAUGUAAAAGCAAGUGGAAUCAGAAAAUUCAUCUUUAUCUUUGUUGCCACCUUUUUUUAUUGAAAAAGCUGCUCCAGGCAAUUGCAACUCAUCAUCAAUAUUUUGACAAGAUAUAUAUUUUUAUACAAGUUGAUGAUACUUUUUCACUGUUAUCAAAUAUUUGUCAGAAAAGGCUGAAUCUGAAGAUUGAACAAUGAAGAUUGAAAUUGAAACCGCAAUGGAAACAGCAAGAGACCUAAAAACUGUAAACAUACAGAAAUAUCAUUUUUUCAUCAUCAAUAAAAAGCCAGAUAUCACCAAAGAAGAGCCAAAACUAAAAACUAAAAAAGGCAAAGAAAAAUGAUGAAAAGUCGAAACAUUUCGUGAACACUUUUCAGGGUUGGCAAAACAAAGAGGCGUAAAAUUGUCAAUUUUUAAGCUAUAUCAUCUCUCCAGAAACUCUGUCAUGAACACACCGAGUAACAUCCAAAUGCAAGGUAAACAAGAGUUGAACACAACAAAGAUGGCUCUUAACAAUAAAUGAUGAAAAUGAUGUUACUGGUUAAGAGUAGUCCUCAAAGCUAAACCACAAGCCUCUUACGGCCUACGGUUGAGACUGUGUGUCUAUUGCUAUCUAAUAUACAUUUAAUCCAGUGAAUUAAAUGGUUCAAGAUGAUUGUUAAAGAAUGAAAGAUUCUUCUAUUUAUAUUAUUACUGGGAAAAUCUAGCAAAUCCAAUAUCGGAAUCAAUUCUAAUGAUGAUAAUAAUGAUGUACUUGGUAGAAAAGGUUUGCAGUGGUAAAAAAAAAGUGAAAGAUGAAAUUCAAUCUUUUCAUCUUUAAAUGGCUUUUGUUUGUAUAAUGGAUAAAAUCAUCAUCCCAUGUUUAUACACUCUCACUGUUCAUCUUUAUCAAGAUGAAAAUGCUUGACAAUCAUCCUCUCAGCUUCAUCAUCUUUAUCAUCAUCUUUGGGUCACACGCAGCAAACGUUUUCAACACACUCAUCUUCAUCUUUCAACCAAACAUGAUGAUAUUCAAAUUUGUAAUGUAUACAUGGUAAAUUGACACUCAUUAUUGGCCUGGUUUAGUUUUGCCUUUUCCGUUCUUCCCUUGAUUGUUAUUAAACAUCGAAAGGCGCAACCUUUGGUUAAACACAAUUUUGUGGUUCCUUGUUUGUCAUCAUAAUAAUGAUUAUGUUUACCAACUAAUACAGUGUAAUUGCAACUAAAUAUACAGACUAAUGUAAACCUGUAAUUGACUGGCAAUACCAGUAAAUGUAACCCUUUUUGCGUCCAAUCCGCAUUAUUUUCCCAUUUUAUUUUUAAUCAACUUUUCACUUUGAUAAAUGUUUCAAUUGUUUAACCAUCAAUUUGU